UAACAGGUCUCUUAUGUGUAUUAGGGGUACUUGUUAUAUACAAUUCUCUCUCCUCAAAACCCUAACCUCAGCCCCAAAAUCAAAAUCCUUUUCUCUUAGAAUUUCGCCGUCACUGGUCUCUUCCACUUGUUUCCUCCGUUGAUGUUUUUGCUAAUAUUCAAUGGAAGGUACUUGCUCUUCUUCUUUUAGAAUAAAAGUUGGAGGCUAUGAAUAUCUCAUUGAUAAUUCCGUCGCCGGGGAAAUGAGUGAUCUUGGAAUAGUUAAAAAUUGGAUCUCGAAACUUUUUCUUGCAGCUUGUAUUAUUUGGAGCGCUUCACUUUCCUUUCCACCAUAAGCAUCUGCAACUUCUAACUUAUUAGUUUGAGGUGUGUUUCCGAUUGCUAUUUUUAAAAUUGGUUUUGAUGAUGUUUGCUGCACAUACACUCUUGCACCUUAUACUUCGUAUAAUGUAUAAACUUUAUUGUAUCAAUGAUGAAUAAAAUGAAAAUCAUAAUUUAGUUUUGAUGAA